AACAAGAAACGGAAGAGGGAAGCUCGCGUUCUUGUCCUGUCGGUUAAUCGUGUUUCUUCUCGGUUCGGUCUCGUCCCCAUUCUCGUCUGGUCCUAUCUCUUCUCCGGCGUCGAAAGCCUUCGUUGCCGCGAGCUCUUUCCCACUGUCCUACUUGGGCUCCAAGGCCGUUCGCUCAAGCUCGGAUUGUCGUAUCAGGACAUCUUUCAAGAGUUCUAACUACGGAAGUUUGUUGCCUCCAUCUUUGCUUUCUCAUAAGCACCAGAGAUGAUUUUUGGCCUAUAUCUGCUUUAUUACUUCGGGUCUCUGAGAGAGAAAUAAGCUCAAAUAAACAUUCAGAAUCCGUGGACUAAACUUGCUUCUAGGCCAUAUGAUCUGCCUUUCUACCAUUUUAUCUUUAUAUUUUUAGUUUAGUUGAGGUUCUGUAUGUUCGACAAACUAUUGACAAAUGAUUCAUUUAUUUAGCCGAUCGUCAGGUGACUCUUAAUAUUAAAUUUUCCUUAUUAUAUAGAAAA